UUCGUGAAAGUGGAAGUGAAUAAAAUAAGUGAAGUAAGUGAAAUUAGGAAACUGAGGAAACUUGAGAGAAACCUUCGUUUGUACUCGUCAAGUCCGGAGUCAGAUUCGACAUCGGAAUAUUCCGAUGCCAACAGCGAGUUCUCCCACAAUGGUUACCCAGUUAAAAACAUACUAGGAGGGGACCCGGCUGAAGUCUUAUAGGGCUAAUAUCAAGGACGAUCUGGCGCUAAGGUGAAACACCUACAUAAGACAGGGUCUGGGCAAAUGAACAAAAAAUGACUAGAUGAAUAAAUGGCUCAUUUCAGCAAU